GCCGUGGUGGUGCAGUGGCCAGCACUCCCGAUCCCAAACAUUCUCUAUGUUCGCUCGCUUUACUCAUAAACACUUUCUCUCAAGGAUCGGAAGGUCGUUGGUUCGAAUCCAACUCACGGUG
rnacentral:tRNA from 1 species